rnacentral:lncRNA from 1 species
GAUUUGUGCACAUGUGCAGGCACACUCCUCACUUCUAUCACCAGUUCCCCUGCUCACCUCCCUCCAUCCACACUGGCUUUUCCUCAAACACACCAGGUGCAUUUUCCCCUCAGGACCUCUGCCUCUGCUGUUCCCUCUGCCUGGAAUGCUUCUUCCCCUUAAUGUGCCUACUGAGCAGGAAUGGAGGAGGGGUGGGGUCAGGAUUCUUACGCCACUCUUUCCAUAAGGGGGGAAUGAGGUGCUGGCUGGGGCAAAAAUAUCCCAUGCCUAUGUCACCAUUUUCAGUUUUCAGGAGCUUUCCAUCCACUCUCUUUUCCCAUCUGUAGCCUCUCCCAGUGUGGAUCUCACAGUCCACUCUGCAAGCAGCUUCUCCCUCUCUCCAGCACUGCUUCCUCGCAGUAGGUGUUGGAGUGCCCCCACCCUCAUGAUGAAGGGCAAAGCUAAUCUUUUUUUUUUUUUUUUUGAGA